rnacentral:ncRNA from 1 species
AUACUGAAAAAGGGGAGUCCACGAAUGGGCUGAGAGGGGGCUUUUCGCUCCGACCCGAAACCUGAUUUGGAUCAUGCCAACGUAGGGAAUAGAGGGCGACUUUGA